GACGAACCGUGCGAACGUUGUUCGGAAUCACUGGGCUUAAAGGGCGCGUAGGCGGGCGGCCGCGUCCGGGGUGAAAUCCCACGGCUCAACCGUGGAACGGCCUCGGAUACGGGCGGCCUCGAGGGGGGUAGGGGCAUCUGGAACUGUGAGUGGAGCGGUGAAAUGCGUUGAUAUUCACAGGAACUCCGGUGGCGAAGGCGAAGGUGCUGGACCCCAUCUGACGCUGAGGCGCGAAAGCCAGGGGA
rnacentral:rRNA from 1 species